CUACGGGUGGCAGCAGUGGGGAAUAUUGCACAAUGGAGGAAACUCUGAUGCAGCAACGCCGCGUGGAGGAUGACACUUUUCGGAGCGUAAACUCCUUUUAUAUAGGAAGAAGAUGAUGGUACUAUAUGAAUAAGCGCCGGCUAACUCCGUGCCAGCAGCCGCGGUAAUAAGGAGGGCGCAAGCGUUACUCGGAAUCACUGGGCGUAAAGAGCGUGUAGGCGGAUUAAAAAGUCAGAAGUGAAAUCCUAUAGCUUAACUAUAGAACUGCUUCUGAAACUCUUAAUCUAGAAUAUGGGAGAGGUAGAUGGAAUUUCUGGUGUAGGGGUAAAAUCCGUAGAGAUCAGAAGGAAUACCGAUUGCGAAGGCGAUCUACUAGAACAUUAUUGACGCUGAGACGCGAAAGCGUGGGGAGCAAACAGGAUUAGAUACCCCCGUAGUC
rnacentral:rRNA from 1 species